UUUCCAAUCAGUUUUCAGGCAUACUUAAAAGCGACAGGGUUGUUGACAUUUGUAAAAGUCAAUGAUCUACAGUUGAUGUACUAGAGCAGGCAUAAAGUUUACAAAGGCACAGGAUUUCUCAGAUAUAUCUUGUUCAGGGUUGCCUGUUAAAGGAUAAAUUGAGAAGCAUUCACAUGAAAUAUAAGUUACAAGGGUAAAUACAGGAUUGCAAAAGUUACUUGGCUCUUCAUCAUAAAGGGCUUACUAGAAUAAAAUGAGUACUUCAACAGUACUCCAGAACAAAAUGACAUCUAAGAGAUUCUAGAGAGCUAAGAAAACAGGACUUUGGUGUUAUCCUUAUUUCCCCGAAGCUAUAGCAGAUGUGUCUUCUCCAGUUGAAGGUCUUCGCUGUUUUCACAGACAGUUGGGCCUUCACCUACAUUGCACUACACAAGAGGGAGAGCCCAAGUAGACAUCCCUUCAUAGGUAAAACACAGCAUUAAUAAUGACACUGUAUUUUAGCUGUCAUUAGAGACAUACCAGGAAAGCAACUAUAGAUU
rnacentral:lncRNA from 1 species